UUUGAAGACAACCCACUGCAAUGGACGUGACUGGGGACCGCUGCUGAGACCAGUGUUCCCAGACUGAGCCACCAUGAAAGCAAAGCCCCUGCCACCCUGCCCGGGAACCUAGAACAGGCUGGACCUCAGUUAACAUCUGUAAAGGAAAGUCAGGUCCAGGCUUGGAUUCCCAGGGGUCCACAAGCCUCCCGGGAACCCUUCCUCCUUGUAACUGCAGGGAUCUGAAGCCUGUGGCCUCCCCUUGGCCCCGUCCAACGCCAAGUCCUGUCACGUCUGUCCCCGCCACAUUCCCUUCGGUAGUGUGAAACUGACCACCACGGGCCACCGACAUCACAGAAUGGACAGAUGCCACCACCACUUCACACACAGACUCUGCGCUUCUGCUCCAAGCCCAGGAGACCUGGGCUCCAAUCUCACCUCUUCUCCUCCUUGCUGUGGGCCGGGCAGUUCAUGCCACCCUGAGCCUCCGUCAGCAUCUUUGUGGUGCAAUAUUGUGGGCCGACCAGGAGCCAUCUGUGGACAGUCACUGGGUGCCAGCCGACGGACAGCUGCAGCGCGGGAGGUGAGCAAAGGAGAGAGCUGGGAGCUGGAGGCCCUUCUCUGAGGAGUUCAAGUUUAACCUGAGCCCUGAGGACGCCCCCCCUUCAAGUCCCCAAAGUGAGGGUGGAAUGUGUCUCCUCAACAACACACUGCAGAGCGAGUGCUGCGCCACAGCCAAGAGCACUGUCUCAGAAAAAAGGAAGAAGGAAGGAAAGAAACACUGCCUCUGGUGAGCACAGCCAAGCCUGGUGUCAGCAUCAGGAGAGCUGAGGGGUGCCAGGCUUGGGGUGGUGCCACCCAGUUUCGGUCCCCUGCCCAGGGCCCAAGACCCCCACGCGAGAGGAGCUGCUGGAGCAUCACCCCUGGCAUCCUGGCACCUCUUCCUGCCUCUCCCUCCUGAUCCACAUCUGCCUCCCCACCACUGGGGAGCUCCUCACCCUCCCACCCCCCCAGCCACAUGCAACCCAUCCAUGGGCAGGGCCAGGUUGGCACCACCUCCCUCAGGGGUGGUCCUGAGCCCUCGGUGGAAGACAAGUGAGAAGCAUCUGGCACUCGGGGGUCUGCACUGUUCUCAGCGAAGGGGGCAGCCCCCUCCCUCCCUCUGCAGGGUGUGUCAGAGGUAGGCAGGUCUCCGUGGAGGGACCUCACCCCCGGGCAUCACUGAAGCCCAUCGCAGAAGUAGGCUCUGUCUCCCAGGGAGGGCCUGAUCCCAGCCACCCCCUCCUGCAUCGCCUGCGCGCCUCAUCCACAGAGGAGGCAUUUAGUGAAGGCCUAACUGAGGGCCCAGAGAACCCCACCUAAACCGCUGCAGAAGCUAGACUGGCUUAGGGUAAAAGCCCGGCGAUACUGCUUUCUGGAACUCCCUCCC